UACGUAGGGGGCAAGCGUUGUUCGGAUUUACUGGGCGUAAAGGGCGCGUAGGCGGUCAGCACAAGUCAGUUGUGAAAUCUCCGGGCUUAACUCGGAAAGGUCAACUGAUACUGUGCGACUAGAGUGCAGAAGGGGCAACUGGAAUUCUCGGUGUAGCGGUGAAAUGCGUAGAGAUGUGGAGGAACACCAGUGGCGAAGGCGACUCUGUGGCCUGUAACUGACGCUGAGGCGCGAAAGCGUGGGGAGCAAACAGG
rnacentral:rRNA from 1 species